GGAAGCAGAGGAGCAUGCAAGGUAUAGUUUUCUAUGGGGUGAAAUAAGCAAAAGCUAAGUUAAUCUGUCCCUCAUGCUUAUGUAGGCUUAGUCUUUCUGAGAUGAAGGGUUCUUGCAAGAGUCACAGAGGCAGUGCUCCAGCAUGCUCCAGAAAUGAACCCUGGUGUAGAAGUACAUUUGAUUGUCUGAUUUCUAAGGACCAUGCUAACUGAUGCCAGGGAUAAGAUCUCGUGACUGCAUAGCUAUUAGAGGAAAAUAAGAAAGGCUUUCAAUGGAAAAUCAAUGUGGCUUGGCAGCUGGUGAGGGAUCGUAUGCAGGAAGCUGUAGAGCUGCCUUAAGUAGUUGAGUAAUCCAUCAGCAGCAAGCGCGAUUUUCAUUUCAUUGAAGAAUGCUGAAGAAAAUAAAAUGUGAAGCAAGAGUCCCAGCAAGGAGAAGUGAUACAGCCUUCAAGUAGCAGGGUUUGCCACCUCUCCGAAACGUUGGGCAUUGCCUCCUUACAGAAGUAGGACAAGGAGCUUGACAGACCUGCAGUCUGAUCUUUUCUGGCAGAUCCUAAGGGCAGGGGGGGCUGACACGCUUGUCAGCAUUUGACCCAGUUUAAACUAACAGAUCCUGAAAAACAAAGACGUGCUGAGAGAUUAAGGAGCGGGAAGGCUGAAACAACUUGAUACUGGGAGAAAUCUUCCCUCAAGACACGAGUACCUAAGGAGGAAGAACAAACCCCCCCAAGACAAAAAUCUCCCCCUGCUGACACGCUGCUGGUGAUGGAACAAAGCUGUUGCCACGGGAGAGCAGAUUAAAGUAAAAAAGGUCCCGGGCAGGUCUGGUCUAUGCUAUGAAGUUUUUUGUGUUCACCCCAACCUGCGCUUCAGUCCUACUGUAUCCCUGCUCCUUCUGCUCUGGCACUGCUCAGUAUUCUGCAGUCCCAGGGACAAGCCCCAUCUCCCCAGUAUUAUUGUCAGUGUGCUUUGAAAAGGGGACGUCCAGCCCACCCAUUGUCCCUUGCAGAGAGCCAACUCCCUUUGCUGGUGAAAGGAAAAAGUCCUCAUAAUCCCACUGUUAGCUCCGAUCAUCCCAGGUGUGCCUCGCAGCACAGCCCUACCAGUCACUGCCUCUUCCCUGGCUGCAGAAAAGCUUCUCCACGGCAUGUGCCUGACUGGUGAGCGUACACCACAGAUUUUGAUGCUUUGGGGCCUCGUUCCCAUUAUCCACUCCCUCUACAAGAAGUUCAACAGCCCUUUUGUGGACCUGCCUGUGGCUGCUGUAAAAUGUAGGCAAUCAGUGUGGUAAAUACAGAGGUGUUUGGCUGGUCUCUGAAGCAGGGCAGCCCCUCUAGAGAGGCCUUGGUGACCUGCGCAGGAUGGGUUUGGAUAGGAAAAGACUAGAUUCUGGGAAAAUAGUGCAAAAAAAAAAUAAAAUAAAAAAAAAUCAAAGAGGAAAGGGAAUUGUGGACCUGGAGGGAAGACCUGUGUGCUUUCCUGUGCUGUACAAUGUAAGGCACUGUGCAUCAGGCAGUGGCAAUGUUACAUGCAGGUGCCAGUGCAUUUUGCUCACACACCCUGUGUGAGCAGGGCCUUUUAAGAAAAAACCCUGCAUGGCACAGCUGAGCACGGGGGGGGCACAAAGCGUGGGGUAGGGUAGAUGCUACGAGCCAAGGAAGCAGCCUGAAAGAAGACAAAUGAAAAAAGUAGCUGUAAAUGGGUGUCCAGUCUGCCUCCUGCAGUGGAGGAGAGCAGUGCCACUGGGCAGGAAGGCAGAGGGCCCUCAUGUAACUAAAGUUGUGUAUGUGAGUUCUGAAAUUUUAAUAUUGUCCAAAGAAACUACUGUCAAGCUUACUUUAAUUGUUAAAAUCUCUUAGAAGUUACCAAUUCUUUGAGAUGAGAGCUAGGGUAAAAGGAAAAAAAAAAAGAUGAAAGUGAAGAAGGGGAGCUACCGAAAAGUGGUAUGUGGCAUCUGAAGCUAGGCUGGCUUGGAGGAUAAGACUGAACAGCUCAGAUGGAAGGGUUGAGAUGACAAAAAUCCAGGCCCAGGGACAUAAAGUGGUUCACCACAGGUGGGAAUAUUUGGUGCUGCCACAUCUGCUGGCACUGAGAAGGAGCUGGGUGGCCUCAUUGGGAUGACAUGCGCAGAAGAUCCAUCUUAUAAGAAGAAAUCAUCAUUGCCCAUGUGAAACUCCUGCAAGAGCGUCUGUGGGAGCUGUGUAUAUAGGUGCAGGAGCUUAACCUUACAGCUGCUCCAGGAAGAGGAGUGGAUUUUUGGACCCCGUUUGUUGGAUUUUAAACCUGUAAUCUCACAUGCUGUAGUUCAUGCCCAUGUUUAAUGCUCUAUGUGUCAUUGAUGUUUGAGAUUAAAACAUCUGCUAAACUAUUUGAACCAAAAAAUGUUGUCCCGUGCAGAAGACAGCUAAACAACGCUAUCUAGAACUGCCUGCUGCCCAAGAACAGGUCAGGAUUGUUGUGUUAAAUGUUGGGUUACUCUUAGAGGGUGUCCUAACUCAUACCAUCUUUUACAGAGGCUGGUGAAGCCACUUUUCUUGGACUUCCCAGAGACACCUGUGCGGUCAGGCCUCCAAAGAGACACCUACAGCAGGAAUGAGAACAAUUAGGCUUGAAUGAGAGUCAGAGACUGACUAAGCUCUUAUCCUCUGACCUACAGCCAACUGAGCAGGCAGAUACAAGUUAAUAAACAAACCAAACUAAAUAAAAUAACCCGGCUCUCAGUGCAAAGUCGAGAAAAUGACUGGACUCAUGGAAAACUCCUGUGUGGAUCCAGCAAUAUCUAGUUUGUUUCACUGAGCACUGCAGCCACCACAGGCUGUGAUGUGACAGAGGGCUCUGAUCUUCUUUUUCCUUGGAUAUUUUAGUGGGGAAAUUGGUUGAGUCCUUGUCUGCUUUCAGUAGGCAGGAAGGUGAGAUGUGAAAGGGCAUC